rnacentral:rRNA from 1 species
UACGGAGGGUGCGAGCGUUGUCCGGAAUCACUGGGCGUAAAGGGCGCGUAGGCGGCUUGACAAGCGUGUGGUGAAAGCCCGGGGCUCAACCCCGGGUCGGCCGUGCGGACUGUCGAGCUGGAGCACUGUAGAGGCGGGUGGAAUUCCGGGUGUAGCGGUGGAAUGCGUAGAGAUCCGGAAGAACACCGGUGGCGAAGGCGGCCCGCUGGGCAGUAGCUGACGCUGAGGCGCGACAGCGUGGGGAGCAAACAGG